rnacentral:rRNA from 1 species
AUUGAACGCUGGCGGCAUGCCUUACACAUGCAAGUCGAACGGUAACGCGGGGCAACCUGGCGACGAGUGGCGAACGGGUGAGUAAUGCAUCGGAACGUGCCCGGUAGUGGGGGAUAACUGCUCGAAAGAGCAGCUAAUACCGCAUACGACCUGAGGGUGAAAGGGGGGGAUCGCAAGACCUCUCGCUAUCGGAGCGGCCGAUGUCGGAUUAGCUAGUUGGUGGGGUAAAGGCCCACCAAGGCAACGAUCCGUAGCUGGUCUGAGAGGACGACCAGCCACACUGGGACUGAGAACCGGCCCAGACUCCUACGGGAGGCAGCAGUGGGGAAUUUUGGACAAUGGACGCAAGUCUGAUCCAGCCAUGCCGCGUGCGGGAAGAAGGCCUUCGGGUUGUAAACCGCUUUUGUCAGGGAAGAAAUCUUCUGGGUUAAUACCUCGGGAGGAUGACGGUACCUGAAGAAUAAGCACCGGCUAACUACGUGCCAGCAGCCGCGGUAACAC